AGAGAAUUCUUUAAAACAACAUUGGUCACAGCUUUUCCAGCAUCAGCACAAACUGAGUAAAUAAGGUAAAGCUUAAAGGAUCCAUGAAAGGCAGAGGCUCCUGAGUCCUGACAUACGAGUACCAUGACAGCACUGUUUGGGAGAGUUUCUGUUCUCAGAGCCCACAGCUUUAAGCUGGCGCCUACAAGGGGUCUUGUCAAGCAUCACAGCCAGCACCACGUGCCCUGCAUGGAGUUGUAGACACCACUCUGGUUCCAAAACUGAGGCCUGCCACCACAGCAGGAAUUAAGGGAUCCUCAAGUCUGCCGGACGUGCCAGGGAGCCGGACUCUCUGCCAGGAGGUGCAGAAAGGAUUCCUUUCCAAGGCUGCUGGAUAUGCUGCUUUUGGAGGCAAAGAGCAAAACCUGAAAACCAGCUUGGCCUUUUGCAUUGUGACACAAGGAUGCUGGCAUGCUGUGGAUCCUGCUGCUGGGCUCGGGGCAGGAGCCUUGGACUGUGGAUGUCACAUCCUGAAAGUUUAUUGGGCUCCUCAGGCUUGUCCUUUCUUCAGUAACCUAGGACGCCUCUGCUGUGCUUGCAACAGGAAGCAUAAAUCAGACGGGGAAUUACUAUGUUUUCAGUGCAGGAGGCAGUGAUUUGGGGAAAGUUUCUCUAAAGGUCAGCGGGAGUCACGUGCUCUGAAUGCUCUCCCCUAGUCUGGAGAUUUCAAGGGAAAAAAAUCAACACCAGGCUAUGGGAUGUUUCUGGUUUCGUGGGAUACAAGGUCAAUGCAUUUAUGACCUUGUUUUGAGCAGAGGACGAGUGGAUGAGGUGUGUGAUCCCAGGAACAGCAUUAUGCAGAGAAAGACUAGGUGAAGAGGCGUGAAAUAUAGGGUCUAUUGUGGCUCCUCUUCAUAUGCACAGCUCUUUUCUUUAAGAUUGGAUGGAGAAAUGGAUCCAUUCAUGAGAGUUUGAUAGCAUUGUAGUGUGGGAGCAUUGUUUUUUUCUCUGUUCUUUUUCUUUCCCCACACAUAGUUUUGGUUUUCCAUCCUUUCCUCCAGAAUAUACGGGUGCAGAGAUGCUGAAAGAGAUCUACUUAGCUCCUGUGUUUUGUGUCCAAAACUUGAAAACUGGGCAGUGCUUGGAGUUCAUCCCAGCUGGUUCAACUACUUCUAGUUUUCACUGGUGAUAUUAAACUACAUGUACAUCACUAGUGCAAGUAGUUCUAGUUCUUCCUGUAGUCCGUAUAUACAGUUUAUGAAUAACAUGCAAGAGAGGAAUAUUUUCUUGUGGCCUAUUUUUCAGUUAAGUCGAAUACCAGACAUCACGUUUGUUUGUGAUUUAUGUAGACAAGGGUUUUCCUCUGCGAACUGCAGAAUUUCAGAGAUGUUUGAGUGUUCACCUAAUUCAUACUAAAAAUAAUGAAUUUUUAAAGUUGGCAUGUGAACCACAGUAGCAGCACAUGCCGGCUUUACUCCAGCAAACAAAAUCACUUGUUUAUUUCACUGAAAUAUUUUAUAUAUAUUGAUGGGAAAUGGACCCUACGUUAGGGCUAACUGAACAGUCAGUAAACUAUUAAUGUGAUAUGCUGCCAAAGUAUUGUUUUAAAUAGAUUACAGCAGCUUCUUGUGGCCUACUGAAUUUGUUUAUGUAGGU
rnacentral:lncRNA from 1 species